rnacentral:rRNA from 1 species
UACGGAGGAUGCGAGCGUUAUCCGGAUUUAUUGGGUUUAAAGGGUGCGUAGGCGGGCGCUUAAGUCAGCGGUAAAAUUGCGGGGCUCAACCUCGUCGAGCCGUUGAAACUGGGUGCCUUGAGUGGGCGAGAAGUACGCGGAAUGCGUGGUGUAGCGGUGAAAUGCAUAGAUAUCACGCAGAACUCCGAUUGCGAAGGCAGCGUACCGGCGCCCAACUGACGCUGAAGCACGAAGGCGUGGGUAUCGAACAGG